GACGAACGCUGGCGGCGUGCUUAACACAUGCAAGUCGAACGGAAAGGCCCUGCUUUUGUGGGGUGCUCGAGUGGCGAACGGGUGAGUAACACGUGAGUAACCUGCCCUUGACUUUGGGAUAACUUCAGGAAACUGGGGCUAAUACCGGAUAGGAGCUCCUGCUGCAUGGUGGGGGUUGGAAAGUUUCGGCGGUUGGGGAUGGACUCGCGGCUUAUCAGCUUGUUGGUGGGGUAGUGGCUUACCAAGGCUUUGACGGGUAGCCGGCCUGAGAGGGUGACCGGCCACAUGGGGACUGAGAUACGGCCCAGACUCCUACGGGAGGCAGCAGUGGGGAAUAUUGCACAAUGGGCGGAAGCCUGAUGCAGCAACGCCGCGUGCGGGAUGACGGCCUUCGGGUUGUAAACCGCUUUCGCCUGUGACGAAGCGUGAGUGACGGUAAUGGGGAAAGAAGCACCGGCGAACUACGU
rnacentral:rRNA from 1 species